GCCAGUGUGGCUCAGUUGGUUUAAGCAUUGUUCUCUACAUCAAAAGAUCAUGGGUUCUAUUCCCAGUACGGGCA
rnacentral:tRNA from 1 species